UACGUAGGGUCCGAGCGUUGUCCGGAGUUACUGGGCGUAAAGCGCGCGCAGGCGGCGGUGUUGGCCCGGCGUGAAAGCCCCCGGCUCAACCGGGGAGAGUCGUCGGGGACCGCACCGCUUGAGGGCGGUAGGGGCUGGUGGAAUGCCUGGUGUAGUGGUGAAAUGCGUAGAGAUCAGCAGGAACACCAGUAGGGAGGAAGCCGACCUGGCCAG
rnacentral:rRNA from 1 species